rnacentral:rRNA from 1 species
CCUACGGGAGGCAGCAGUGAGGAAUAUUGGUCAAUGGACGAGAGUCUGAACCAGCCAAGUAGCGUGAAGGAUGACUGCCCUAUGGGUUGUAAACUUCUUUUAUAAAGGAAUAAAACGAGGCACGUGUGCCUUUUUGCAUGUACUUUAUGAAUAAGGAUCGGCUAACUUCGUGCCAGCAGCCGCGGUAAUACGGAGGAUCCGAGCGUUAUCCGGAUUUUUUGGGUUUAAAGGGAGCGUAGAUGGGUUGUUAAGUCAGUUGUGAAAGUUUGCGGCUCAACCGUAAAAUUGCAAUUGAUACUGGCAGUCUUGAGUACAGUUGAGGUAGGCGGAAUUCGUGGUGUAGCGGUGAAAUGCUUAGAUAUAACGAAGAACCCCGAUUGCGAAGGCAGCUUACUAAGCUGAGACUGACAUUGAUGCUCGAAAGUGUGGGUAUCAAACAGGAUUAGAUACCCCAGUAGUC